rnacentral:rRNA from 2 species
GCUGGCGGCRGCCUACACAUGCAAGUCGAGCGGAUGAGUGGAGCUUGCUCCAUGAUUCAGCGGCGGACGGGUGAGUAAUGCCUAGGAAUCUGCCUGGUAGUGGGGGACAACGUUUCGAAAGGAACGCUAAUACCGCAUACGUCCUACGGGAGAAAGUGGGGGAUCUUCGGACCUCACGCUAUCAGAUGAGCCUAGGUCGGAUUAGCUAGUUGGUGGGGUAAAGGCUCACCAAGGCGACGAUCCGUAACUGGUCUGAGAGGAUGAUCAGUCACACUGGAACUGAGACACGGUCCAGACUCCUACGGGAGGCAGCAGUGGGGAAUAUUGGACAAUGGGCGAAAGCCUGAUCCAGCCAUGCCGCGUGUGUGAAGAAGGUCUUCGGAUUGUAAAGCACUUUAAGUUGGGAGGAAGGGCAGUAAGUUAAUACCUUGCUGUUUUGACGUUACCGACAGAAUAAGCACCGGCUAACUUCGUGCCAGCAGCCGCGGUAAUACGAAGGGUGCAAGCGUUAAUCGGAAUUACUGGGCGUAAAGCGCGCGUAGGUGGUUCGUUAAGUUGGAUGUGAAAGCCCCGGGCUCAACCUGGGAACUGCAUCCAAAACUGGCGAGCUAGAGUAUGGCAGAGGGUGGUGGAAUUUCCUGUGUAGCGGUGAAAAUGC